AGAGUUUGAUCAUGGCUCAGAGCGAACGCUGGCGGCAGGCCUAAUACAUGCAAGUCGAACGCACCUUCGGGUGAGUGGCGGACGGGUGAGUAACGCGUGGGAACGUGCCCUUAGGUUCGGAACAACUCAGGGAAACUUGAGCUAAUACCGAAUGUGCCCUUACGGGGAAAGAUUUAUCGCCUUUGGAGCGGCCCGCGUCUGAUUAGCUUGUUGGUGAGGUAAAGGCUCACCAAGGCUACGAUCAGUAGCUGGUCUGAGAGGAUGAUCAGCCACACUGGGACUGAGACACGGCCCAGACUCCUACGGGAGGCAGCAGUAGGGAAUCUUGCGCAAUGGGCGAAAGCCUGACGCAGCCAUGCCGCGUGAGUGAUGAAGGCCCUAGGGUUGUAAAACUCUUUCAGCGGGGACGAUAAUGACGGUACCCGCAGAAGAAGCCCCGGCUAACUUCGUGCCAGCAGCCGCGGUAAUACGAAGGGGGCUAGCGUUGCUCGGAAUUACUGGGCGUAAAGGGAGCGUAGGCGGAUGUUUAAGUCGGGGGUGAAAGCCCGGGGCUCAACCCCGGAACUGCCUUCGAUACUGGGCAUCUAGAGUACGGGAGAGGUGUGUGGAACUCCGAGUGUAGAGGUGAAAUUCGUAGAUAUUCGGAAGAACACCAGUGGCGAAGGCGACACACUGGCCCGUUACUGACGCUGAGGCUCGAAAGCGUGGGGAGCAAACAGGAUUAGAUACCCUAGUAGUCC
rnacentral:rRNA from 1 species